CUUUAUGUCGGGCUGAUGAGGCACUCGAAAGAGUGGCCGGUUCCGUGAUCCGGUACGCCAACUUCAUCAGUCCGGCACCCAU
rnacentral:antisense_RNA from 1 species